rnacentral:rRNA from 1 species
CCUACGGGAGGCAGCAGUGGGGAAUAUUGGGCAAUGGGCGCAAGCCUGACCCAGCAACGCCGCGUGAAGGAAGAAGGCUUUCGGGUUGUAAACUUCUUUUAAGAGGGAAGAGCAGAAGACGGUACCUCUUGAAUAAGCCACGGCUAACUACGUGCCAGCAGCCGCGGUAAUACGUAGGUGGCAAGCGUUGUCCGGAUUUACUGGGUGUAAAGGGCGUGUAGCCGGGCUGACAAGUCAGAUGUGAAAUCCGGGGGCUCAACCCCCGAACUGCAUUUGAAACUGUUGGUCUUGAGUAUCGGAGAGGCAGGCGGAAUUCCUAGUGUAGCGGUGAAAUGCAUAGAUAUCACGCAGAACCCCGAUUGCGAAGGCAGCCUUCCGGCGCCCUACUGACGCUGAGGCACGAAAGUGCGGGGAUCGAACAGGAUUAGAUACCCUGGUAGUC